AGCAGCCGCGGUAAUUCCAGCUCCAAUAGCGUAUAUUAAAGUUGUUGCAGUUAAAAAGCUCGUAGUUGAAUUUCGGGAUUUGCAUAUCGGUCGUGCCUUAAGGGGUAUGAACUGGUGUAGUGAAUUUCUCACCUUCUGGAGAACCGUGAUGUCCUUAAUUGGGUGCCACGAGGAACCAGGACCUUUACUUUGAAAAAUUAGAGUGUUUAAAGCAGGCAUUUUUGCUUGAAUACAUUAGCAUGGAAUAAUAAAAUAGGACGGCAUGAUUCUAUUUUGUUGGUUUCUAGGAUCACCGUAAUGAUUAAUAGGGAUAGUUGGGGGCAUUAGUAUUCAAUUGUCAGAGGUGAAAUUCUUGGAUUUAUUGAAGACUAACUACUGCGAAAGCAUUUGCCAAGGAUGUUUUCAUUAAUCAAGAACGAAAGUUAGGGGAUCGAAGACGAUCAGAUACCGUCGUAGUCUUAACCAUAAACUAUGCCGACUAGGAAUCAGACGAUGUUAAUUUUUUAAUGACUCGUUUGGC
rnacentral:rRNA from 1 species